UACCCCCACUUAUCAAUGAAGGAAGUAGAAAAACAUUUAAUUUGUAUUAGAUAUAAAACUAAAUUGAAAUCAGAAUAUUCUCUCACAUUUCUGUUGUUUUUUCAUUCCUAUUCUAUUCCAUGGAACACAGUCUGGUACUAAAUAUCAACGGAUACAGUCUCAACAUAGACAAAUGAAGAAAUUAAUUUGAAACUCUAUGAUUCAUGAUACUAAUCUCCACUGGGAUACAGAAAACUCACUUAAACUAACAUGUGCUCCACUCCAAAUGCUAUACCAGUAUAAUAAUACUUUGAAAAAUUCCAAAUAGCAAAGCUAAGUAAGUAACCAAAACGAAAGAUAAAUGAAAAUUAAAAUCGAAUUGGAAACUUUUUUAACCUUUUAUCACCUUCAAGGCUACAUCAAAAUUCACCGCCAAAAAACUGGAUUCAUUGGAACCAGACAUGAAUAAAGAUUCAUUUUACCCGAAAACGAAUCCAACCAAACAAAAGCAAAGGAGAGAUCAAAACCUUUUCAGAGUAGAGAGGCAGGGAACGCAAGGACCCGAGCGACAGCAUUCAAAUGUAACACGAGUUCCUCCAGAAACUUCCUUGAAGCUCAGCAGGACCUCUCCUCGCUGCACUUUUCUUUCAAGAAAAGAGGGCUACAAAUUUUUUAAAGACAAAAUAAUUUUGUAUGAUUGAUUUAAUGGACAUUUAAUGAAAGAGGAAAAUAUCACUAAUGGAUAAAUCAUAUAUUCGCUUUUAAGAAGAAAAUAAUAAUAAAUCUAAUAGAAUUUUUUAAAGAGGAAAAUAUCAGAAUCAUGAUAGGAAAUAAUUUUGUAUGAUUGAUUUAUGGAAAAUUAUGAAGGUUAUUAGAAAAUUUAAGAGUUUACUAAUUCAGCAUCACUAAUUUGGAUAAAUCAUCCACUCCCUUUUAAGACUAAAAUAACAACAAAUCUAAUAAUCCAGUAGUUUAGAAAACAUUACCAUAUCUGAUCCAUCUCGAUCUAUAUAUAUAUAUAUGUGUCUGUUCUCCAGUUCUUCACAACAAAGCAAAACCAAAAAGCUCUGAUAUCGAUUGACACUUACUCGGAAUUUCUACAUCCAUUUAAAGAAGAAGAAGAAGAUGCGUUCAAGCAGAGUAGCAUCAGCCACUGAGGACGUCGAGCAUCAAGUGAAAGCAAGUAUUGACAAGCUAUUUCGGAUGGCGGAAUCGGAUGCCAAAUUCAUGUGGAGAAAACUCGUCGGCAGCAUGGAAGACAACGACGUGAAGCAUUGCAGCAGAGAGAAGAAGACACAUGUGCGUUCUUCUUUAUGGAAUUUUUGGGCCAAAAAGGAAUUAUAUGAGAAGCUGGGAGGAGGAGGAGUUUCUGAUUGUUCUUCUGGAGGCAGCCUUGAAGAUAUUACUGUAAGUUGGAUACAGAAGUAUCUAAGAAACUGUCCCCUCCACAAGGGAAUUGCCGAGAAGGAAGACGAACACAUGAUGAUUAUUAGGUUUGGGCGGAAGAUUAAAAAAUUGUUUAAGAAGAAAAUGAAACCUACUGCUGCUGCUUCCGCUAAUGUUCAAUCCAACUUAAACUUCUCCAUCUCUUGGGGCUGUGUAAGUUUUCAUUCUGAGGUUUGCGUUAAAAAACCACUUUGGUGUAAAUCACUACUUAGUUAGUUCAAAAAUCUAC
rnacentral:lncRNA from 1 species